rnacentral:misc_RNA from 1 species
UCUCUCUCUCUCCCCUCCCUCUUCCCAAUUUCUGAUUUUUCCAUUUCUCUUUCCCUAUCGCAAAUCCAAACAUUUAACAAAGUAAUUCAAAAUCAACAAACCUUAUAAACAAUAAAUCGAAAUCCACUACAAACCAAUAAAGAAUCAAUAAACCCAAAUCCUCAUCAUACCCAUAAUCUUCAAAUCCCCAAUGAAUCCAUAAUUUGCAAAUUCAAAAUUGAAAUCAAAACAAACAAUUGCAAACUCGAUAAAUUGAAAAUAUCAAAUUUGAUAUCUAGAAAAGCAAUUCUAAAUAACAAAUCCAAAAUAAUCGACCAUCUAUCAAAAUCAAACGAAGGUGGGUAAGCUUGCAAUUGCAAAUCAAUGAGGGAGGCAUGUGACAACAAUAACCUGCGGAGGAGAAUAAAAACAGAGACCACAAGAGUUGGGAUUUUUUUUUUUUUUUUUUGGGAGACUGAUAGCUAGUGCUUCUGUUGCUUGGUUUGAUGUUUGAUAGGAUUGUUUUGGGAGACCGAUUACUAGUGCUCCUGACGCUUGGUUUGAUGUGGUUGAGCGUUACUCAAAUGACAAUAAUAAGACACUAAAGUAUGAUUCUCCAUUUUUAUUAAAGGUUUAAAUUAUUUUAGCUUGGUGAUUUAUUUUAACCUGAUUUUGUCUGUAAAGUUAUUGGAUAUUGAGAAUCUGUGCAAAUGAUUGCCCCUGACACAGACGAACCACAAAUAUUAGUAGAUGCCUUAACUUGGGGUCAUACAACUAUCUGGGAUUUGCUGCAGCAGAUGAGUAUUGCACUCCUCGAGUAAUUGAGUCAUUAAGGAAAUAUUCUCCUAGCACUUGUAGUAGCCGGGUGGAUGCGGGCACAACGGCAUUGCAUAAUGAAUUGGAGAAGUGUGUUGCCGACUUUGUUGGAAAACCAGCGGCUAUAGUUUUUGGAAUGGGCUAUGUUACAAACUCUGCUAUCCUUCCAGUCCUGAUUGGGAAGGGUGGUUUGAUUAUCAGUGACUCCUUGAACCACAACUCUAUUGUAAAU